rnacentral:rRNA from 1 species
UACGUAGGGUGCAAGCGUUGUCCGGAAUUAUUGGGCGUAAAGGGCUCGUAGGCGGUCCAUCGCGUCGGGAGUGAAAAGCUGGGGCUUAACCCCAGUCCUGCUUCCGAUACGGGUGGACUAGAGGUAGGUAGGGGAGAACGGAAUUCCUGGUGUAGCGGUGAAAUGCGUAGAUAUCUGGAGGAACACCGGUGGCGAAGGCGGCAUCCUGGACCGGCAUUGACGCUGAGGAGCGAAAGCCAGGGGAGCAAACGGG